CAGGCUACUCCCAGCCUGGGGGAAUCACCAGGGCCUGAGGGAUGCUAAAAAAGACCAGGGAGACUAGAGCCCAGAGACAAAGCCAUCCUCGUCAAAUAAAGAAUUUGCGUUUGACUUGAAAGCAUGCUCAGACAGACAGCUAGCCUAUGUACGUGUGGUUCUUCCUCCUGUUCAACAGGGCUGUGAUGUGAACAUGAGACUUGUGGUGCAUGCCAGUUGGGACAUCAAGCGUCCUCGAAGUUGUG
rnacentral:lncRNA from 1 species